rnacentral:rRNA from 1 species
UGGGGAAUAUUGGACAAUGGGCGCAAGCCUGAUCCAGCAAUGCCGCGUGAGUGAUGAAGGCCUUAGGGUUGUAAAGCUCUUUCGCACGCGACGAUGAUGACGGUAGCGUGAGAAGAAGCCCCGGCUAACUUCGUGCCAGCAGCCGCGGUAAUACGAAGGGGGCUAGCGUUGUUCGGAAUUACGUGGGCGUAAAGGGCGCGUAGGCGGCCUGAUUUAGUCAGAAGUGAAAGCCCCGGGCUCAACCCUGGGAAUAGCUUUUGGAUACUUGGCAGGCUUGAGUUCCGGAGAGGAUGGUGGAAUUCCCAGUGUAGAGGUGAAAUUUCGUAGAUAUUGGGAAGAACACCGGUGGCGAAGGCGGCCCAUCUGGACGGACACUGACGCUGAGG